rnacentral:rRNA from 1 species
UAGCCGUAAACGAUACUCGCUAGGUGUCGGCCACGGUGCGACCGUUGUCGGUGCCGUAGGGAAGCCGUGAAGCGAGCCACCUGGGAAGUACGGCCGCAAGGCUGAGACUUAAAGGAAUUGGCGGGGGAGCACCACAACGGGUGGAGCUUGCGGUUUAAUUGGAUUCAACGCCGGAAAUCUUACCGGGACCGACAGCAACAUGAAGGCCAGGCUGAAGACUUUGCCGGAUUAGCUGAGAGGAGGUGCAUGGCGUAGUCGUGU